rnacentral:rRNA from 1 species
CAGUUCGGAUUGAAGGCUGAAAUUCGCCUUCAUGAAGCCGGAAUUGCUAGUAAUGGCAGGUCAGCAUACUGCCGUGAAUACGUUCCCGGGCCUUGUACACACCGCCCGUCACACCAUGAGAGCCGGUAAUACCCGAAGCCAGUAGUCCAACCUCGUGAGGACGCUGCCGAAGGUAGGAUUGGCGACUGGGGUGAAGUCGUAACAAGGUACC